rnacentral:rRNA from 1 species
CGCCUCUUGCAAAAUUAACGAAUAAGAGGUCCCGCCUGCCCUGUGACUAUAUGUUUAACGGCCGCGGUAUUUUGACCGUGCGAAGGUAGCGCAAUCACUUGUCUUUUAAAUGAGGACCUGUAUGAAUGGCAUAACGAGGGCCUAACUGUCUCCUUUUUCAGGUCGAUGAAAUUGAUCUUCCCGUGCAGAAGCGGAAAUAAUACCAUAAGACGAGAAGACCCUAUGGAGCUUUAGACAAAAGCAGGCCGUGUUAAGCACCCUCAAAUAAGAGACUAAACUUGAUGUUUACUGCCCUAAUGUCUUUGGUUGGGGUGACCGCGGCGAAACAAGCAACCCCCGUGUAGAAAGAGACCUCCAUCUCUCCAAAUCAAGAGCUCCCGCUCAAAUGAACAGAAUAUCUGACUAAACAAGAUCCGGCAACGCCGAUCAACGGACCGAGUUACCCUAGGGAUAACAGCGCAAUCCCCUUCUAGAGCCCAUAUCGACAAGGGGGUUUACGACCUCGAUGUUGGAUCAGGGCAUCCUAAUGGUGCAGCCGCUAUUAAGGGUUCGUUUGUUCAACGAUUAAAGUCCU